CGUUCAUAGUCGGUGUGGAGUUGGUGUCGGAUGGAGGUGAUGAGAGUGAAAACAUCCUCUGUGGCAGAGCUGAAGAGAUGGCAUCAGUGAAUCCUCCCUCAGUUGUACAAGGAACAAUUUGUGUUUGUGUCGUGCCUCCUGAACUCCAUGAAGAUUAUCCAACAGAUGCUGUCACGUCCUGGUUUGAACUGGAGACUUCCCUCCUGUGAUGAACGAUGUGGUGG